rnacentral:lncRNA from 1 species
AUGGGGUUUCACCAUGUUGGCCAGGCUUGAACUCCUGGCCUCAGGUGAUCCUCUCAUCCCGGCCUCCCAAAAUGCUGGGAUUUCAGGCAUGAAGCCACUGCAGCUGGGCCCAGCCAUUUUUUUUGACCACACAGUCUUGCUCUGUCUCCCAGGCUGGAGUGCAAUGGUGAGAUCAUGGCUCACUGCAGCCUUGAUCUCCUGCACUUAAGGGAUCCUCCCACCUCAGCCACCAGAGUAGCUGGAACUACAGGUGCACGCCACCAUACUUGGCUAAUUUUUUAAAAUUUUUUGGCAGAGAUGAAGUCUCACUAUGUUGCCCAUGCUGGCCUCAAACUCCUGAGCUCAAGGGAUCCUCCCGCCUCAGCCUCACAAAAUGUUAGGCUUACAGACAUCUGCCACCAUGCCUGACCCCUGCUAACAUCUUGACUUUAGCCCAGAAAGACUCAUUUUGGACUUAUGACCUACAGACUAUAAGGUAGUAGAUUUGUGUUAUUUAAAUAAAGCCACUAAUUUUUAGGUGAUUUAUCACAGCAGUGAUUUUUUAAAAACGAAUACAAACUUCUUGUAUACAUUUUUCUUUUUAAAUCAUUGUCUCUUUUCCCUUGGUUACAGAUUUUUGUGGCUGUCACUCAGGUUUUCUGCUCAUUGGUAGACAAAAGGUAAGGAGGUGCUUGAAAUUGGAACGGUGAAAGGAACCUUCACCGAAACCUGGAACUUUGGAAGAAUGGCAAGACUGAAAAUGAUUAGUGUUAAUUGAUUCCAGUUGUGGUAUGCUACCCAUAAGUGUGGAACUUAAAACAGAAGGAGGGACUGAAAUAUGGGCCGUGUUCAGUGAUAUGCUCCCAAAACCUAGAAGUUGGAAAUGGGAAGUCACUUUACAAUGGAGAAGCCUAGUAAACAGCAAAGACUGCGUUGGCCAAGUGAUCAAGAUUAACCUCAACAGUGGUAAGUCAUGUGGACAGCAUGUACCUUUGAUAUGAUGUAAUGAAAAAAGGACCAGUCAAAUACAAAUAACUUGUGUGGUUUAGUUAAUAGCGAUGUGCCUAUUUUGUUUCCUUAGCUGUGACGCAUGUACCAGGGUAAUGUAAAAUGCUCACGAAAUGAGAAAUUAGGUACGGAAUAUGUAGGAACUCUAUACUGUCUGCAACUUUUUGGUACUCUAAAAG